AGACUAGGGGUGGGCUCGGUUCGGUUCGGUUCGGUUUUGUGAACUUUUUUAAACCGAACCGACCGGUUCGGUUUGGGUUGGGUACAAAACCGAACCGAACCGACCGUUACAUUCAACCCAAACCGAAUCGAACCGAAUGAAUAUUUUUCGGUUUGGGUUGGGUUCACGGGUUGGGCCGGGUUGGGCUUUCUGAUGGGCUUCGGCCCAAAUUUUUUUAUUUUUGGUUUAGACCGGUUUGGGCCUUAUGAUGAGCUUCACUUUCAGCCCAAUUUUUUUUAUUUUUGGUUUGGGCCAGUUUGGACCUCAUGAUGGAUUUCGGCCCAAAUUUUUUUUAUUUUUACUAUUUUGAGAUAUGGGUCGGUUCGGUUUGGAUUGGGUAAAUUUUUUACCCACCCGUAACCCGAACCGAAAACCACGGGUUCAAUCCAUAUGUAACCGAACCGACCCGCUUAACAGUUAAAAACCAACCCAACCCGACCCAAAUAGUUCGGUUCGGGCGGGUUGGUCGGUCCGAGUCGGGUUUUGCCCAGCCCUAACUGAGACAACUAAAACAACAACCUCAUCCAAUUUUCAUUUUGUUUUCACAAAUUUUUAUUUUUUAUUUUUUUGGUUUCUUUCCCAUUUGGAUCCUAAACAGAAUUCGAAGCGGUUAUUAAAAUUUUCCUUUUUCCACAUUUUCUCAACAACCAAACGUACCAUCUAAAGAUUGAAUUCAUCAAAACCAUCAUCGAUUUUUGGUGCAAACUUUGAACUCGAAUCUUCGAGACCGAAAAUGAUGCUGAAUCUUGGAAAAUCUCUCAUUGAGCAAUGAGUUACAGAAGGGGUGCAACCAUUAUAAAUCAGCGAGUAUGCAUAACACAUUAGGGAAUAUAAACGGAUGAAGAUGAUUGUUGGAAUAGUAGUCCAUGGAACCAUGAGGGCAAUAGUGGUUCAUUGGUAACAAAUCAAUAGAAAUAAUUUCCAUUGGAUGGGAAAGAUGGGUGCAUCACUUCACAAGUCUUCGAGAGGACAGGCAAUAGGGUUAAAACCUCCAUACCUUAUGGUAAAAUUUGUUUUCAAUAUCCUUUUAUUCUGCUUUUAUCUUGUGUAUACACUUAUUUAUAUGGUGAAAAUUAGACACUGACUUUUGUAGCUUGAGCAUAUUUCAUUCUAAUAUAAAGAGAAGUCUACCUCUUAUUUUCUACAUGUACUUUUCUCUUAUUUUCUGUUUCUCUUGAUUAUUUAUUAGCAUGCAUUUCUUCCUCCAUAUUCGAAGUACAAUUUGUUUGUACUUUAUGUCUUGUGUCCACUGUCUUCUUAGUGUUUACUCAUUGAAAUUUAUCUUUUAAGCAUAUCUUAGUUAUGUAGCCCUUGUUUGGGAUGUUUGGAUAUGGAGGACCUAUUGCAUCUAUGCAUCUAGGAAGGUAUGAGUUGCACCUUCAUUUGUGUCCUCAUUCUGAUUGAAUAUUCCUAAAUGUUUAGUUUUACCUUUUUUUCAUUUCAUUGUCUUGUCGUAGGCAUGCGCUUGUUUCUUCGAAGACAAAGAAUUCCAAGAAAGUAUAAACGUUACAUCUUGAGAGAGAAGCCUUACUCGGUAGUUCUGAUAGUGAACAUACUUGGAUGAUAGUUAAGUUGCAUACUAGUUUCUUGAUCUAUCAGAGGGCCAUAUUUUUUAAUGCUUUUAUCUGAUUUCUCUUACAUCUUUGCAAUAGAACCACCCAAUGGUUUUCAAUCUCUUGUACUAAUGGACAACUUCAUUUCCAUUUUAGACUGAUGGUGGUAUCAAAAAUCCCUCAAAAGCUGAAAUUAGGGACACACCCCAUGGAAAACUACUCUGUUUCUAUUAUUUUAUACUUUUGGCAUGGUCAAAUUAAGACAGUAUGUGUAUCAAAUAAAUUUAUUAAGAUGUAUACUUUUGUAGGAGCUGUAAUAUUCUCUAGGAGCUGUAAUAUUCUCUAGUUUUUAUUCAUAAAACAUUGUACAAUUUCCUCUUGCUAAUUCAGAUUUUGUUUUUAGUUUUUGUACAUGAUUCUCGUGUCAAUAUGAUGUGUAAGGAUCCAAUUUCAUUAUUAAAUUCUCCAUAUUAUUUGAUAUGUGGAAAAGCAAUAAAUAAGAAAGAUGAUAAUUUAAAUGGAUGGUAA